rnacentral:rRNA from 1 species
AUUGAACGCUGGCGGCAGGCCUAACACAUGCAAGUCGAGCGGCAGCGGAAAGUAGCUUGCUACUUUGCCGGCGAGCGGCGGACGGGUGAGUAAUGUCUGGGGAUCUGCCUGAUGGAGGGGGAUAACUACUGGAAACGGUAGCUAAUACCGCAUAACGUCGCAAGACCAAAGAGGGGGACCUUCGGGCCUCUUGCCAUCAGAUGAACCCAGAUGGGAGUUAGCUAGUAGGUGGGGUAACGGCUCACCUAGGCGACGAUCCCUAGCUGGUCUGGGAGGAUGACCAGCCACACUGGAACUGAGACACGGUCCAGACUCCUACGGGAGGCAGCAGUGGGGAAUAUUGCACAAUGGGCGCAAGCCUGAUGCAGCCAUGCCGCGUGUAUGAAGAAGGCCUUCGGGUUGUAAAGUACUUUCAGCGAGGAGGAAGGCGUUAAGGUUAAUAACCUUAGCGAUUGACGUUACUCGCAGAAGAAGCACCGGCUAACUCCGUGCCAGCAGCCGCAGUAA